GCCGGAGUAGCUCCAAUUGGUAGAGCAACUGACUCGUAACCAGUAGGUCGUGGGUUCGAAUCCCAUCUCCGGCACCA
rnacentral:tRNA from 3 species